AAGGGGAGGGGGACCCUACGGGUCUAGGGAAUACCCCGGAUCCGUUUUGCCCCCUGUCCCUAGCUUCAUAAUAAAAUUGUGGAGACUAUGUGGCAAAAGAAAAACAAGGGAUUUAAAAGAACGGGGGGGGGGAGGACCCUUAGGGUCCCCCCCCCGGGAUCCGAAGGGUCCGCCACGCCCCGUCCCGAUUUAUAUGAAAAACCACUCUUUUUAUUAAGAUUACUGUCUAACACCGUACAAGUAAGAUAGUUUGGUUGGGGCGACCGCCUUCGAAAAAGUAUCGAAGGCGCACAUAAGAUUAAUCAGGAGAAGGAUCCGAAGGAUCUUUUUCUCGGGGGCAAUGUCCCAAAAAAAGGAGAUUAAUUUGACUGAGAGGGCAACAACCCGAACAGACGUCAAAGGAUAGACCGGGGGGGGAAUCCUACAGAUUCCUUCCCCCCCUUCUUUUGGCGGGUCAUAGUGAUC
rnacentral:rRNA from 1 species